UGCCUCUUUGGUCCUUCAGAGGUGAACCAUCUCCUAGUCUCUUAUAGUUACCCCAAUUACUUAUGUUGUUGCCAUUUCUUAAUGUUACCAUUCGUGCAUUUUUUUUCUAUAACCUGAUUAACUUAUGAAUAUAUUCAUGCUUAGUCUGUUAUCCCGUCCAAUGCUUAGUCUGGCAUAAAAUGCAGUGUGUAUUUCUUGUAUAUAAAUUUAAGAGUCCAGAGGAUGGAAUUGAUGCACUUUUCAGUUUCCUAAUAAUCAGAAACUUGUUAUUCUGACCUUGUCAGUUUGUGCUUGAUGGAAAGGUUGUAGUCCUUUACAGCAUUACAGUGCAUAUAUCAUUUGUUUUGUGGGUUGAAUUUAGGAAUAUUGUCAAUAGGCUGUUGUUGUGUCCCAUUGCAUAUGCUGUUUGUUAUGUGGAUCAAGCUAAAAUCUUUCCACUUUGGUCAUCUUAAUGCAAAUUGUGAAGAAUUAGCUAAAACAGGUUUCAUGAAGACAAUUAGCUAGUGAAAAAAGCAAGAGAAAUAAUUGACCAUUGACCAGGGAAUUUCCGCAUUGGAGAUUGAAUUUCAUUUAAUAUAGCCAAAAGGUGCAAGUUGAUAUAGGCAUGUUGAAGAUGGUUAUAGCUUGGAGGGCAUUGGAAAUUUUUGCUGAAUGAUUUAAUACAAAUUGAUUGUUAAUUGUUUUCUCCCCCUAAUUUCUUUGUUGUUUUUUUUGUAUGAUCCACAUUUGAUUACAAUGCGCUCAUUGAAAUUCUUAUUAAUUCUUUAUCUUUGCAGGUUAGCUUAAGAGAUCCCCUUCGACGUGGUGCUGAUGAACUUGAGCUUAGGGAAAUAAUUGGAGCAGC
rnacentral:misc_RNA from 1 species